rnacentral:lncRNA from 1 species
GGAAGAUCUGCUGUUCUUCUGGAGUUGUGUGAAAUUUUAUUUGCUGUUUCAAAGCAGCUUGUUCAGAUCUUGAUGCAUUCAUGGCAAGGCCAAGAGCACCCUGAGAAAUGAGGAAAAAGAAGCACCAGUUGAGAGGGAGAAGUCAGUGGAGAACCUGUUUCUUUCCUCAACCACAAGAUAGACUUUCCUUAAAUAGCUGAAUUCACUCUAGAUGUCUGAUGUCCUGAGAAAGGUGUAGGAGAUGUGAUGUUGCAGGGAGUGGCAGAUUAGAAGGCAGUUCAUGGGAAGGAGGGCAGACAAGAGGCAGGCACUUCAGGUAUGUUGGAACUUGGACUACAUUUGAAGUAGUCUUUUAUUCAAACAUUCAUC